GGCCUGGUAGCUUAGUUGGAAAAGCACUUGUCUAGCCCUAGUGUAUAAGGGUCGUAAGUUUAAAUCUCAUCUGAGUUG
rnacentral:tRNA from 1 species